AUUGAACGCUGGCGGCAGGCCUAACACAUGCAAGUCGAGCGGAUGAAGGCAGCUUGCUCCUGGAUUCAGCGGCGGACGGGUGAGUAAUGCCUAGGAAUCUCCCUGGUAGUGGGGGAUAACACCUGCAAGGGGCCGCUAUUACUACAGCCGACUGGCGGCAGAUGGAGGGGGACUUCCGGACCCACCCCUUCCUGAUGGACCUAGUUGGGAUUUGUUAGUUGGUUGGUUAAAGGCCUACCAAGCCGACGAUCGGUAACUGGUCUGAGAGGAGGAUCAGUCACACUGGAACUGAGACACGGUCCAGACUCCUACGGGAGGCAGCAGUGGGGAAUAUUGGACAAUGGGCGAAAGCCUGAUCCAGCCAUGCCGCGUGUGUGAAGAAGGUCUUCGGAUUGUAAAGCACUUUAAGUUGGGAGGAAGGGCAGUAAGUUAAUACCUUGCUGUUUUGACGUUACCAACAGAAUAAGCACCGGCUAACUUCGUG
rnacentral:rRNA from 1 species